rnacentral:rRNA from 1 species
CGCGUAUAGAAUCUGCCUUGUACAGGAGGAUAGCCUUUAGAAAUGAAGAUUAAUACUCCAUAAUUCUAUGAAUUGGCAUCAAUUUAUAGUUAAACAUUUAUGGGUACAAGAUGACUAUGCGUCCUAUUAGCUAGAUGGUAAGGUAACGGCUUACCAUGGCAACGAUAGGUAGGGGGUCUGAGAGGAUUAUCCCCCACACUGGUACUGAGACACGGACCAGACUCCUACGGGAGGCAGCAGUGAGGAAUAUUGGGCAAUGGAGGCAACUCUGACCCAGCCAUGCCGCGUGCAGGAAGAAGG